rnacentral:rRNA from 1 species
GACGUAGGGCGCGAGCGUUGUCCGGAUUUAUUGGGCGUAAAGGGCGCGUAGGCGGCCUGAUAAGUAGGGGGUGAAAUCCUGCGGCUUAACCGCAGGGCUGCCUUCUAAACUGUCAGGCUGGAGCACAGUAGAGGCAGGUGGAAUUCCCGGUGUAGCGGUGGAAUGCGUAGAGAUCGGGAAGAACAUCAGUGGCGAAGGCGGCCUGCUGGGCUGUUGCUGACGCUGAGGCGCGACAGCGUGGGGAGCAAACAGG